AGCGAACGCUGGCGGCAGGCCUAACACAUGCAAGUCGAACGACCCUUUCGGGGUUAGUGGCGGACGGGUGAGUAACACGUUGGAACGUGCCUUUAGGCUUUGCCUAGCUCAGGGAAACAUGUGCUAAUACCGAAUGUGCUCUUCGGGGGAAAGAUUAAUCGCCUUUAGAGCGGCCCGCGUCUGAUUAGCUAGUUGGUUGAGGGAAUGGCUCACCACGGCGACGAUCAGUAGCUGGUCUGAGAGGAUGGGCAGCCACAUUGGGGCUGAGACACGGCCCAAAAUCCUGCGGGAGGCAGGAGUGGCGGAUCUAGCGAAAUGGGGGAGAGGCUGAAGGAGCCCGGGCGGGUGAAUGAUGAAGGUCUUAGGAUUGUAAAAUUCUUUCACCGGGGGCGAUAAUGACGGUACCCGGAGAAGAAGCCCCGGCUAACUUCGUG
rnacentral:rRNA from 1 species